rnacentral:rRNA from 1 species
UACACUCCUACGGGAGGCAGCAGUGGGGAAUAUUGCACAAUGGGCGCAAGCCUGAUGCAGCCAUGCCGCGUGUAUGAAGAAGGCCUUCGGGUUGUAAAGUACUUUCAGCGGGGAGGAAGGCGAUAAGGUUAAUAACCUUGUCGAUUGACGUUACCCGCAGAAGAAGCACCGGCUAACUCCGUGCCAGCAGCCGCGGUAAUACGGAGGGUGCAAGCGUUAAUCGGAAUUACUGGGCGUAAAGCGCACGCAGGCGGUCUGUCAAGUCGGAUGUGAAAUCCCCGGGCUCAACCUGGGAACUGCAUUCGAAACUGGCAGGCUAGAGUCUUGUAGAGGGGGGUAGAAUUCCAGGUGUAGCGGUGAAAUGCGUAGAGAUCUGGAGGAAUACCGGUGGCGAAGGCGGCCCCCUGGACAAAGACUGACGCUCAGGUGCGAAAGCGUGGGGAGCAAACAGGAUUAGAAACCCUUGUAGUCCCAU